rnacentral:rRNA from 1 species
UUAAGCGACUAAGCGUACACGGUGGAUGCCCUGGCAGUCAGAGGCGAUGAAGGACGUGCUAAUCUGCGAUAAGCGUCGGUAAGGUGAUAUGAACCGUUAUAACCGGCGAUUUCCGAAUGGGGAAACCCAGUGUGUUUCGACACACUAUCAUUAACUGAAUCCAUAGGUUAAUGAGGCGAACCGGGGGAACUGAAACAUCUAAGUACCCCGAGGAAAAGAAAUCAACCGAGAUUCCCCCAGUAGCGGCGAGCGAACGGGGAGCAGCCCAGAGCCUGAAUCAGUAUGUGUGUUAGUGGAAGCGUCUGGAAAGGCGCGCGAUACAGGGUGACAGCCCCGUACACAAAAAUGCACAUGCUGUGAGCUCGAUGAGUAGGGCGGGACACGUGGUAUCCUGUCUGAAUAUGGGGGGACCAUCCUCCAAGGCUAAAUACUCCUGACUGACCGAUAGUGAACCAGUACCGUGAGGGAAAGGCGAAAAGAACCCCGGCGAGGGGAGUGAAAAAGAACCUGAAACCGUGUACGUACAAGCAGUGGGAGCACGCUUAGGCGUGUGACUGCGUACCUUUUGUAUAAUGGGUCAGCGACUUAUAUUCUGUAGCAAGGUUAACCGAAUAGGGGAGCCGAAGGGAAACCGAGUCUUAACUGGGCGUUAAGUUGCAGGGUAUAGACCCGAAACCCGGUGAUCUAGCCAUGGGCAGGUUGAAGGUUGGGUAACACUAACUGGAGGACCGAACCGACUAAUGUUGAAAAAUUAGCGGAUGACUUGUGGCUGGGGGUGAAAGGCCAAUCAAACCGGGAGAUAGCUGGUUCUCCCCGAAAGCUAUUUAGGUAGCGCCUCGUGAAUUCAUCUCCGGGGGUAGAGCACUGUUUCGGCAAGGGGGUCAUCCCGACUUACCAACCCGAUGCAAACUGCGAAUACCGGAGAAUGUUAUCACGGGAGACACACGGCGGGUGCUAACGUCCGUCGUGAAGAGGGAAACAACCCAGACCGCCAGCUAAGGUCCCAAAGUCAUGGUUAAGUGGGAAACGAUGUGGGAAGGCCCAGACAGCCAGGAUGUUGGCUUAGAAGCAGCCAUCAUUUAAAGAAAGCGUAAUAGCUCACUGGUCGAGUCGGCCUGCGCGGAAGAUGUAACGGGGCUAAACCAUGCACCGAAGCUGCGGCAGCGACGCUGAUGCGUUGUUGGGUAGGGGAGCGUUCUGUAAGCCUGUGAAGGUGUACUGUGAGGUAUGCUGGAGGUAUCAGAAGUGCGAAUGCUGACAUAAGUAACGAUAAAGCGGGUGAAAAGCCCGCUCGCCGGAAGACCAAGGGUUCCUGUCCAACGUUAAUCGGGGCAGGGUGAGUCGACCCCUAAGGCGAGGCCGAAAGGCGUAGUCGAUGGGAAACAGGUUAAUAUUCCUGUACUUGGUGUUACUGCGAAGGGGGGACGGAGAAGGCUAUGUUGGCCGGGCGACGGUUGUCCCGGUUUAAGCGUGUAGGCUGGUUUUCCAGGCAAAUCCGGAAAAUCAAGGCUGAGGCGUGAUGACGAGGCACUACGGUGCUGAAGCAACAAAUGCCCUGCUUCCAGGAAAAGCCUCUAAGCAUCAGGUAACAUCAAAUCGUACCCCAAACCGACACAGGUGGUCAGGUAGAGAAUACCAAGGCGCUUGAGAGAACUCGGGUGAAGGAACUAGGCAAAAUGGUGCCGUAACUUCGGGAGAAGGCACGCUGAUAUGUAGGUGAAGUCCCUCGCGGAUGGAGCUGAAAUCAGUCGAAGAUACCAGCUGGCUGCAACUGUUUAUUAAAAACACAGCACUGUGCAAACACGAAAGUGGACGUAUACGGUGUGACGCCUGCCCGGUGCCGGAAGGUUAAUUGAUGGGGUUAGCGCAAGCGAAGCUCUUGAUCGAAGCCCCGGUAAACGGCGGCCGUAACUAUAACGGUCCUAAGGUAGCGAAAUUCCUUGUCGGGUAAGUUCCGACCUGCACGAAUGGCGUAAUGAUGGCCAGGCUGUCUCCACCCGAGACUCAGUGAAAUUGAACUCGCUGUGAAGAUGCAGUGUACCCGCGGCAAGACGGAAAGACCCCGUGAACCUUUACUAUAGCUUGACACUGAACAUUGAGCCUUGAUGUGUAGGAUAGGUGGGAGGCUUUGAAGUGUGGACGCCAGUCUGCAUGGAGCCGACCUUGAAAUACCACCCUUUAAUGUUUGAUGUUCUAACGUUGACCCGUGAUCCGGGUUGCGGACAGUGUCUGGUGGGUAGUUUGACUGGGGCGGUCUCCUCCUAAAGAGUAACGGAGGAGCACGAAGGUUGGCUAAUCCUGGUCGGACAUCAGGAGGUUAGUGCAAUGGCAUAAGCCAGCUUGACUGCGAGCGUGACGGCGCGAGCAGGUGCGAAAGCAGGUCAUAGUGAUCCGGUGGUUCUGAAUGGAAGGGCCAUCGCUCAACGGAUAAAAGGUACUCCGGGGAUAACAGGCUGAUACCGCCCAAGAGUUCAUAUCGACGGCGGUGUUUGGCACCUCGAUGUCGGCUCAUCACAUCCUGGGGCUGAGUAGGUCCCAAGGGUAUGGCUGUUCGCCAUUUAAAGUGGUACGCGAGCUGGUUUAGAACGUCGUGAGACAGUUCGGUCCCUAUCUGCCGUGGGCGCUGGAGAACUGAGGGGGGCUGCUCCUAGUACGAGAGGACCGGAGUGGACGCAUCACUGGUGUUCGGGUUGUCAUGCCAAUGGCACUGCCCGGUAGCUAAAUGCGGAAGAGAUAAGUGCUGAAAGCAUCUAAGCACGAAACUUGCCCCGAGAUGAGUUCUCCCUGACUCCUUGAGAGUCCUGAAGGAACGUUGAAGACGACGACGUUGAUAGGCCGGGUGUGUAAGCGCAGCGAUGCGUUGAGCUAACCGGUACUAAUGAACCGUGAGGCUUAACCUU